rnacentral:rRNA from 1 species
CCUACGGGAGGCAGCAGUGGGGAAUAUUGGGCAAUGGAGGAAACUCUGAUCCAGCAAUGCCGCGUGAAUGAAGAAGGCCUUCGGAUCGUAUAGUUCUUUAGUCAGGGAAGAAGUCAAUGACGGUAGCUGAAGAAUAAGCUCCGGCGAACUACGUGCCAGCAGCCGCGGUAAUACGUAGGGGGCAAGUGUUGUUAGGAAUGACUGGGCGUAAAGGGUGCGUGGGGGGUUGUACAAGAUAGAGGGGAAAUACCCAGGGCUUAACUCGGGUGCUGCUUCUGAAACUGUAUGACUUGAGUGCAGUAGAGGUUAGUGGAAUUCCUAGUGUAGCGGUGGAAUGCGUAGAUAUUAGGAGGAACACCAGAGGCGAAGGCGGCUAACUGGACUGCAACUGACGCUGAGGCACGAAAGUGUGGGGAGCAAACAGGAUUAGAUACCCCUGUAGUC